rnacentral:misc_RNA from 1 species
UCCGGUUUGUCACCGGCAGUCCCGACAGAGUCCCCGCCAGCCUUUCGGCCGCGCUGGCAACAGUCGGCAAGGGUUGCGCUCGUUGCGGGACUUAACCCAACAUCUCACAACACGAGCUGACGACAGCCAUGCACCACCUGUGUAGCACCCUCGAAGGUCACACGUUUCCGUGCGCUUGCAGCACCAUGUCAAGCCCAGGUAAGGUUCUUCGCGUUGCAUCGAAUUAAAGAACAUGCUCCGCUGCUUGUGCGGGCCCCCGUCAAUUCCUUUGAGUUUCAACCUUGCGGUCGUACUCCCCAGGCGGGGCACUUAACGCGUAAGCUGCGACACGGAGAGGGCCGAUCCCCCCCGCAUCCAGUGCCCAUCGUUUACCGCGUGGACUAC